GACGAACGCUGGCGGCGUGCUUAACACAUGCAAGUCGUACGGUAAGGCCCUUUCGGGGGUACACGAGUGGCGAACGGGUGAGUAACACGUGAGUAACCUGCCCACAACUUUGGGAUAACGCUAGGAAACUGGUGCUAAUACUGGAUAUGUGUUCUUGCUGCAACGUGGUGGUUGAAAAGCUCCGGCGGUUGUGGAUGGACUCGCGGCGUAUCAGCUUGUUGGUGGGGUAGUGGCCUACCAAGGCGGCGAAGGGUAGCCGGCCUGAGAGGGUGACCGGCGACAUUGGGACUGAGAUACGGCCGAGACACCGACGGGUGGCAGCAGUGCGGAAUAUUGCACGAGGGGCGCCAGCCGGAUGCAGCAGCGCUUCGGGCGGUAGGACGGUCUUCGUGUUGUAAACCGCUUGCAUCAGUGACGAUGCUUUUUGUGACGGUACCUGCAGAAGAAGCACCGGCUAACUACGUG
rnacentral:rRNA from 1 species